GACGAACGCUGGCGGCGUGCUUAACACAUGCAAGUCGAGCGGUAAGGCCCUUUCGGGGGUACGACGAGCGGCGAACGGGUAGGAGUAACAACGUGGGUGGACCUCGCCCUCCAGCUCUGGGAGUAAGACCUCGGGAAACCGGGGUACCGUAAUAACCGGAUAUGACUCCAUGACGCAUGUUGUGGGGUGGAAAGCCUUGUGCGGCUGAGGAUGGGCCCGCCGGCCUAUCAGCUUGUUGGUGGGGUGGAUGGCCUACCAAGGCGACGACGGGUAGCCGGCCUGAGAGGGCGACCGGCCACACUGGGACUGAGACACGGCCCAGACUCCUACGGGAGGGCAGCAGUGGGGAAUCUUGCGCAAUGGGCGAAAGCCUGACGCAGCGACGCCGCGUGAGGGAUGACGGCCU
rnacentral:rRNA from 1 species